AUAAAAUGUAUUUAUUAGCAGGUUAAGUGAGUAUAAGAGAUAUUAU
rnacentral:guide_RNA from 1 species